AUGAAAGAUAAGGUGCUCAUCCUCACCCAGCAGUCCGGCGGCGGCGCCUUCGGCUCCCGGCGCAAGUACCUCCACGGCGAGUUCAGCAUCCAGAUGAAGCUCGUCCCCGGGAAUUCCGCCGGCUCCGUCACCUCCUUCUACCUGUCGUCGGGCGACGGCCCCGGGCACGACGAGAUCGACAUGGAGUUCAUGGGCAACGCCACGGGGCAGCCAGUGGUGCUCAACACCAACGUGUGGGCCAACGGCGACGGCAAGAAGGAGCACCAGUUCGACCUCUGGUUCGACCCGGCCGCCGACUUCCACACCUACACCAUCAUCUGGAACCACAAGAACGUCCUCUUCAAGGUGGACAACCUCUUCAUCCGCAGCUUCAAGCGCUACGCCGACCUGCCCUACCCGGGCGCCAAGCCCAUGUCGGUGCACGCCACGCUCUGGGACUGGGACGGCAGCUACUGGGCGACGCAGAAGGGCAAGGUCCCCGUGGACUGGUCCGGCGCGCCCUUCGUCGUCUCCUACCGCGCCUACUCCGUCGACGCCUGCGUGCCGGCGGACGGCGGGGAGGGCAGCCUGCUCUCCUGCCCCGCCGGCACGGACCGCUGGAUGAACCGGCAGCUCGACGACGCCGAGCGCGGCACCGUCGCCUGGGCCAAGCGCGAUUACAUGCGCUACAACUACUGCGACGACGGCUGGCGAUUCCCAUAG
rnacentral:rRNA from 1 species